rnacentral:ncRNA from 2 species
AUCCAGUCUGUUUUGGCAUCUGA